GAUGAACGCUGGCGGCGUGCCUAAUACAUGCAAGUCGAGCGAACGGACGAGAAGCUUGCUUCUCUGAUGUUAGCGGCGGACGGGUGAGUAACACGUGGAUAACCUACCUAUAAGACUGGGAUAACUUCGGGAAACCGGAGCUAAUACCGGAUAAUAUUUUGAACCGCAUGGUUCAAAAGUGAAAGACGGUUUUGCUGUCACUUAUAGAUGGAUCCGCGCUGCAUUAGCUAGUUGGUAAGGUAACGGCUUACCAAGGCAACGAUGGCUAGCCGACCUGAGAGGGUGAUCCGCCAAACUGGGACUGAGACACGGGCCCGACUCCUACGGGAAGCAACAGUAAGGAAUCUUCCGCAAUGGGCGAAAGCCUGACCGAGCAACGCCGCGGGAGUGAUGAAGGUCUUCGGGUCGUAAAACUCUGUUAUUAGGGAAGAACAAAUGUGUAAGUAACUGUGCACAUCUUGACGGUACCUAAUCAGAAAGCCACGGCUAACUACGUG
rnacentral:rRNA from 1 species